GAAAGGGAGCAUUAGAGAGUGAGGUUUACAGAGGAUGUGCGGUUGCCGAGAGAACGAAGGAGAGGAAAAUAAGAAAAGAAAAGCAAGAGAAGAGAGGAGAGUAUAGAGAGGAGGUGCCGGCUGUUGAGUAUGGAGAGAAGGUGUCAGCUACUGAGUAUAGAGAGAGAGAGGAGGUGCCGCUAUUGAGAGAGAGGAGGUACCGCUGCCGAGACAGAGGAGGUGCCACUACUGAGAGAGAGGAGGUGCCAUUGCUGAGAGAGAGGAGGUGCCGUUGUCGAGAUAGAGGAGGUGUCGCUGCUGAGAGAGAGGAGGUGCCACCGAGUAUAAAGAGAGACGAGCUAUCACUGUUGAGAUAGAGGAGGUGCUACGGCUAUGUUCUAAGUCCAAAAACAAAACCCUAUAAGAAAAGGAGAAAUCAGAGAUAGAAAUACAGAGAGAACAAAGAGAAAGGCAAAUAGUAAGAGAAGAGGUGUCGUUGCAUAUUCAAGUAAAAAAAAAAAAAUUAAAACCUAAAAUCAUAUUGGCUGAAUCAAUGUGUAGGUAAAGAAACAUAGAAAAACAUGGCACAAAUGGCAGCAACCUUCUCUUAGAAAAAAGAAGAAGAAAAAUGGGGGAGAUAGAACUUCUUUCUACACCGAGAGAGCAAGAAACCGAAGAAGGGGAAAAUGAACAGAAAGAAGAGAUAAAGACCAGAGACAAUAGAAUGAGAGGAGAAAAACGAAGGGAAUAAGAGAGCGAUGAGAUAGGUUUUAUAUGAAUGGGUGCAGAGCCACGGGUCAGCAAAUACUCCAGUUCAGGGUGGGAAUAAUUUCCAUCCCAUUCCUGAAGUAACACCACCAAACCUAAGAUGUGAAUUAGCAACACCUCCAAUUCAUAGUGGAGAUAAUUCUCAUCCCACUCCAGAAGUACCAUCACCAAAUCUGAUGCAAGAGCCUAGAGCAAUGUCAUCUCAAGUGCCUACAAGAGGGGGGAGAAGGGGAAGGAGAAAUGAAAGGGAAAGGGAAAGGCACUCUGAUUAGUGUUUUAUUUUCCUUUAUUUGUAAUCUUUUUGGCAAGGAAAAUACACUCUUUUGAUGAGUGUUUUAUUUUCCUUUUUUGUAAUCUUUUAAUUUCAUAUGAACUAAAAUGUGAACAUUUGUAAAUAUAUAUUACCUUUUAUUAAAUACUAGAUUUCAGUUUUUAA